rnacentral:rRNA from 1 species
CAAUAGCGUAUAUUAACGUUGUUGCAGUUAAAAAGCUCGUAGUUGGAUUUCUGGAGGGAGCGUCGGCCCGUAUUUACGAGUGCGUGACGUCUCUGUCCAUCCUUGCGGGAAGGCACGGCAUUGAUUUGUUGUGUCGGAUCGCAUCAUUUACUGUGAACAAAUUAGAGUGUUCAAAGCAGGCUUUCGCUUGAAUACAUUAGCAUGGAAUAAUAAGAUAGGACUUUGGUGCUAUUUUGUUGGUUGAGCCUAAAGUAAUGAUUAAUAGGGAUAGUUGGGGGCACCUGUAUUGCGUUGUCAGAGGUGAAAUUCUUGGAUUUACGCAAGACAAACAGCUGCGAAAGCGUCUGCCAAGGAUGUUUUCAUUAA